rnacentral:rRNA from 1 species
AUUGAACGCUGGCGGCAGGCUUAACACAUGCAAGUCGAACGAUGAUUAUCUAGCUUGCUAGAUAUGAUUAGUGGCGGACGGGUGAGUAACAUUUAGGAAUCUGCCUAGUAGUGGGGGAUAGCUCGGGGAAACUCGAAUUAAUACCGCAUACGACCUACGGGUGAAAGGGGGCGCAAGCUCUUGCUAUUAGAUGAGCCUAAAUCAGAUUAGCUAGUUGGUGGGGUAAAGGCCCACCAAGGCGACGAUCUGUAACUGGUCUGAGAGGAUGAUCAGUCACACCGGAACUGAGACACGGUCCGGACUCCUACGGGAGGCAGCAGUGGGGAAUAUUGGACAAUGGGGGCAACCCUGAUCCAGCCAUGCCGCGUGUGUGAAGAAGGCCUUUUGGUUGUAAAGCACUUUAAGCAGGGAGGAGAGGCUAAUGGUUAAUACCCAUUAGAUUAGACGUUACCUGCAGAAUAAGCACCGGCUAACUCUGUGCCAGCAGCCGCGGUAAUACAGAGGGUGCGAGCGUUAAUCGGAAUUACUGGGCGUAAAGCGAGUGUAGGUGGCUCAUUAAGUCACAUGUGAAAUCCCCGGGCUUAACCUGGGAACUGCAUGUGAUACUGGUGGUGCUAGAAUAUGUGAGAGGGAAGUAGAAUUCCAGGUGUAGCGGUGAAAUGCGUAGAGAUCUGGAGGAAUACCGAUGGCGAAGGCAGCUUCCUGGCAUAAUAUUGACACUGAGAUUCGAAAGCGUGGGUAGCAAACAGGAUUAGAUACCCUGGUAGUCCACGCCGUAAACGAUGUCUACUAGCCGUUGGGGUCCUUGAGACUUUAGUGGCGCAGUUAACGCGAUAAGUAGACCGCCUGGGGAGUACGGCCGCAAGGUUAAAACUCAAAUGAAUUGACGGGGGCCCGCACAAGCGGUGGAGCAUGUGGUUUAAUUCGAUGCAACGCGAAGAACCUUACCUGGUCUUGACAUAGUGAGAAUCCUGCAGAGAUGCGGGAGUGCCUUCGGGAAUUCACAUACAGGUGCUGCAUGGCUGUCGUCAGCUCGUGUCGUGAGAUGUUGGGUUAAGUCCCGCAACGAGCGCAACCCUUUUCCUUAUUUGCCAGCGGGUUAAGCCGGGAACUUUAAGGAUACUGCCAGUGACAAACUGGAGGAAGGCGGGGACGACGUCAAGUCAUCAUGGCCCUUACGACCAGGGCUACACACGUGCUACAAUGGUAGGUACAGAGGGUUGCUACACAGCGAUGUGGUGCUAAUCUCAAAAAGCCUAUCGUAGUCCGGAUUGGAGUCUGCAACUCGACUCCAUGAAGUCGGAAUCGCUAGUAAUCGCGGAUCAGAAUGCCGCGGUGAAUACGUUCCCGGGCCU